rnacentral:tRNA from 1 species
CAAAGAAUCGUCUAAGUUAAGAUACAAGCUUUGGGAGUUUGAGAUACAGUAUCUGUUUCUUUGA